CUGACAGCAGUACCCCUGCCAGUCAAAAGAAGGAAGUAGUUGAAACCACACUGGUGCAGGAAAUCAGAAUAAAGAAUUAUUCUCCUUUCUUUCCAUCACCUGACUCAAAGCCCAAACAGGCCAAUACUGGUUGUAGAGU
rnacentral:lncRNA from 1 species